UACGUAGGGGGCUAGCGUUGUCCGGAAUCAUUGGGCGUAAAGCGCGUGUAGGCGGUCCGGUAAGUCCGCUGUGAAAGUCGGGGGCUCAACCCUCGGAUGCCGGUGGAUACUGUCGGGCUUGAGUACGGAAGAGGCGAGUGGAAUUCCUGGUGUAGCGGUGAAAUGCGCAGAUAUCGUAAGGGAAGACCAGUGGCGAAGGCGGGUCUCUGGCCCGAUACUGACGCUGAGGCACGAAAGCGUGGGGAGCAAACAGG
rnacentral:rRNA from 1 species